UCUUCAUUGGUCUAGUGGUCAUGAUUUCCGCUUGUCAUUCUCAAGCGCGGGAGACCUGGGUUCGAUUCCCAGAUGGAGAG
rnacentral:tRNA from 1 species